rnacentral:rRNA from 1 species
AGUUCGAUCCUGGCUCAGAUUGAACGCUGGCUGGAUGCUUUACACAUGCAAGUCGAACGGCAGCACGGACUUCGGUCUGGUGGCGAGUGGCGAACGGGUGAGUAAUGUAUCGGAACGUGCCUAGUAGCGGGGGAUAACUACGCGAAAGCGUAGCUAAUACCGCAUACACCUUCGGGAAAGCGGGGACCUUCGGGCCUCCCACUAUUAGAGCGGGCCGACAUCGGGAUUAGUUGGGUUGGUGGGUGCAACGGCUCAACAAGGCGACGAGAUCCGCAGCUGGUUUGAGGACGACCAGCCACACUGGGACUGGAGACACGGCCCAGACUCCUACGGGAGGCAGCAGUGGGGAAUUUUUGGACAAUGGGGGAAACCUGAUCCAGCCAUCCCGCGUGUGCGAUGAAGGCCUUGGUUGUAAAGCACUUUUGGCAGGAAAGAAACGGCACGGGAUAAUACCCUGUGCAACUGACAGUACCUGCAGGAAUACACCAUAACGCACGGCCAAAGCAGCAGCCGCAAUACGUAGGGUGCAAGCGUUAAUCGGAAUUACUGGGUAAAGCGUAAGGCAGGCGGGUUCUGGAAAGAAAAAGAUGUGAAUCCUAGAGCUUAACUUUGGAACUGCAUUUUUAACUACCGAGCUAGAGUGUGGCCGAGGGAGGUGGAAUCUCCGCGUAGCAGUGAAAUGCGUAGAUAUGCGGAGGAACACUGAUGGCGAAGGCAGCCUCCUGGGAUAACACUGACGCUCAUGCACGAAAGCGUGGGGAGCAAACAGGAUUAGAUACUCCGGUAGUCCACGCCCUAAACGAUGUCAAUCUAUUGUUGGGCCUUUCGCCUUGGUAGCGCAGCUGGUCGCAGGCUGGACUGCCUGGGUGUAAGCUGUGGUCGCAAGAUUAAAUCAAAGCGAAUUGACGGGAUUCCGCAUGCCGUGGAUGAUGGGAUUAACUGAUGCAACGCGAAAACCCUUACCUACCCUUGACAUAUCUGGAAUCCCGAAGAGAUUUGGGGAUGCCUGCAAGAGAACCGGAACACAGGUGCUGCAUGGCUGUCGUCAGCCUGUGUCGUAGAUGUUGUCGUCCCUGCAACGAGCGCAAACCCGCUCAUUGUUUGAGCACUUGCAAGGGCACUCAAUGGAGUAUCUGCCAGUACAAAUCGAGGAAGGUGGGGAUGACGUCAGUCUCGGCGGCCUUGCGGGUAGGGUUUGAGUCGCGCACCGGUCGGGAUGAGGGUCGCCAACUCCGCGGGAGCCAAUCCAGAACCGAUCAGGUCUGAUCGCAGUUCGUAACCCCCGACUGCGUGUCGGAAUUGCCAGUAAUCGCGGGAUCAGCAUAAGCCGCGGGUAAUACGUUCCCGGGUUCGUACGACACCGCCCGUCACACCAUGCAGGGGUUUUACCAUGUUGAACAACUGUAAGAGGCGAUUACCAUGGUAGGAUUCACACUGGGGUGAAGUCGUAACCAUGGGUAAUCUUCGAAAGAUACCUGAUGCUCCA